UACGGAGGGUGCGAGCGUUGUCCGGAAUUACUGGGCGUAAAGCGUGCGUAGUCGGUUAUCUAAGUCAGGUGUGAAAGCCCAGGGCUCAACCUUGGAAUUGCCUUUGAUACUGGCUGUCUUGAGUUCGGGAGAGGUGAGUGGAAUGCCGAGUGUAGAGGUGAAAUUCGUAGAUAUUCGGCGGAACACCAGUGGCGAAGGCGACUCACUGGCCCGAUACUGACGCUGAGGCGCGAAAGCGUGGGGAGCAAACAGG
rnacentral:rRNA from 1 species